rnacentral:rRNA from 1 species
GAUGAACGCUGGCGGCGUGCCUAAUACAUGCAAGUCGAGCGAACAGAUGAGGAGCUUGCUCCUCUGACGUUAGCGGCGGACGGGUGAGUAACACGUGGAUAACCUACCUAUAAGACUGGGAUAACUUCGGGAAACCGGAGCUAAUACCGGAUAAUAUAUUGAACCGCAUGGUUCAAUAGUGAAAGACGGUUUUGCUGUCACUUAUAGAUGGAUCCGCGCCGCAUUAGCUAGUUGGUAAGGUAACGGCUUACCAAGGCAACGAUGCGUAGCCGACCUGAGAGGGUGAUCGGCCACACUGGAACUGAGACACGGUCCAGACUCCUACGGGAGGCAGCAGUAGGGAAUCUGCCGCAAUGGGCGAAAGCUUGACGGAGCAACGCCGCGGGAGUGAUGAAGGUCUUCGGAUCGUAAAACUCUGUUAUUAGGGAAGAACAAAUGUGUAAGUAACUAUGCACGUCUUGACGGUACCUAAGCAGAAAGCCACGGCUAACUACGU